GAGACAGUUGACACUAGACCGGCCGGUGACCGCCGAUUUCGCUUUCUUGAACCGGCGAUUCACUCUAGUUCGUCUUGCUCCACGGGGUUACCUCUAUAAAAGGAAAUUUCUGCCUAUCUAGAGAGAGAGAGAGAGGAGCUAUUCUGGUGACCGGCUCUUCCUCGCUUGAACCGGCGAUAUAUACAGAGAUCAUACCUAUAUAUAUAUAUAUAUAUAUAUAUCACAUCCAUAUUAUAUAUAGAGAGAGAGAGUUACUUGUAGAUACGGCUGAUGAUAGAUAUGCGAAUGAGCGAAUAUAGAGGUUUCUGCAACAUUUUAUUGCUUCAGGAUCCAUAUUAUAGAGAGAGGGUUACUUGUAGAUACGGCUGAUGAUAGAUAUGCGAAUGAGCGAAUAUGGAGGUUUCUGCAACAUUUCUUUGCUUCGGAUUGCUAUGACUCCUGGUAGUGGAAGUGGAUACAAGAUAUUUGACUUAGAUCAUAGUAUUGAGUUUGUGGCCGAGGUUCAGAUACGAGUGAGAAUAAUGCUUGUGAACAUGAAGAUGAUCUGCUGAGUUGAGAGACGGAGUGGAAUGCAAAAUUUUUGUCAAAGUUAUAUCUUGUAAGGUAAGCAGAUAGGCUGGGACCUACAUGCGGUGUCUCAUAUCAAGAAGUUCAUAGACAAAACUCUCACAAUUUAGGGCUUGUAAAUUUGAAGUUCCUUCUUUUCUUUUCUCUAUCUUUUUUGGUAGAUUUGUUUUUUAUUGCUUUCUACCAUGUACUGGAAGUAUCAUCAUAUCAAACAUAUAUAAUGUUUUCCAGUUUUGUUCCUGUAAUGAAAAAUGGCAGUUCUGUUCA